rnacentral:rRNA from 1 species
AGAGUUUGAUCCUGGCUCAGGACGAACGCUGGCGGCGUGCUUAACACAUGCAAGUCAAGGGGGCCCGCAAGGGCAACCGGCGAACGGGUGCGUAACACGUGAGCAACCUACCGAUUUGUGGGGGAUAGCUGUCCUAACGGGCAGGUAAUACCGCAUACGCGUUCCGGGAGACAUCUCCUGGCACGGAAACUUUCGAGGCAAAUCGAGGGGCUCGCGGCCUAUCAGCUAGUUGGCGAGGUCACGGCUCACCAAGGCGACGACGGGUAGCUGGUCUGAGAGGAUGGCCAGCCACAUUGGGACUGAGAAACGGCCCAGACUCCUACGGGAGGCAGCAGUGGGGAAUCUUGCGCAAUGGACGAAAGUCUGACGCAGCGACGCCGCGUGGGGGAUGACGGGUUUCGGCUUGUAAACCCCUGUUGCCCGGGACGAACUUCUCCUUUCGAGGAGAUUGACGGUACCGGGUGAGGAAGCACCGGCUAACUCUGUGCCAGCAGCCGCGGUAAUACAGAGGGUGCGAGCGUUGUCCGGAAUCACUGGGCGUAAAGGGCGCGUAGGUGGCGCUGCAAGUCGGUGGUGAAAGCUCGCCGCUUAACGGCGAGUCGGCCAUCGAAACUGCAGGGCUCGAGCACUGUAGGGGCUAAUGGAAUUCCGGGUGUAGCGGUGGAAUGCAGAGAUCCGGAAGAACACCAGUGGCGAAGGCGGUUAGCUGGGCAGUUGCUGACACUGAUGCGCGACAGCGUGGGGAGCAAACAGGAUUAGAUACCCUAGUAGUCC